GCCGCUUUAGCUCAGUUGGUAGAGCACCCGCCUUGUAAGCGGUAGGUCGUCAGUUCGAAUCCGACAAGCGGCACCA
rnacentral:tRNA from 26 species